UACGUAGGGUGCAAGCGUUGUCCGGAAUUAUUGGGCGUAAAGAGCUCGUAGGCGGUUUGUUGCGUCGGCUGUGAAAUCCCGAGGCUCAACCUCGGGUCUGCAGUCGAUACGAGCAAACUAGAGUGUUGCAGGGGAGACUGGAAUUCCUGGUGUAGCGGUGGAAUGCGCAGAUAUCAGGAGGAACACCAAUGGCGAAGGCAGAUCUCUGGGCCGUAACUGACGCUGAGGAGCGGAAGCAUGGGGAGCGAACAGG
rnacentral:rRNA from 1 species